CCGAGUUCACAACUCCCAAACCCCUGUGAACAUACCUAUACGUUGCCUCGGCGGAUCAGCCCGCGCCCCGUAAAAAGGGACGGCCCGCCCGAGGACCCCUAAACUCUGUUUUUAGUGGAACUUCUGAGUAAAACAAACAAAUAAAUCA
rnacentral:misc_RNA from 1 species